UCAGAUACAAAUUCAGAAUAACGAGUGCAUGAUAAAUAUUUAUGCAGCGGAAUAAAAACUAUUAUAAAUCCCUUACAAAUACAUAUGAGUUCCAAUACAUACAUAUACUGAGGCCAGAAAUGGCUGCAAAAUAAAAAACAAAACAUAAGGGCCACUUUUUUCACUAUGUUAUUGGACUCAUUAGAGUGCGAGAACAGUCAUGCACUCAGACUGGUGGAUUCACGGGAUCCUCAUAGACUUCCAAGGGCAGGUUAGGCUACGGUUUCUCACUUUCUU
rnacentral:lncRNA from 1 species